rnacentral:rRNA from 1 species
ACGUAGGCAGCGAGCGUUGUUCGGAGUUACUGGGCGUAAAGAGUAUGUAGGCGGUUUUCUAAGUUUGGUGUGAAAUCUCCCGGCUCAACUGGGAGGGUGCGCCGAAAACUGGGAGGCUUGAGCGUGGGAGAGGAAAGCGGAAUUCCUGGUGUAGCGGUGAAAUGCGUAGAUAUCAGGAGGAACACCUGCGGUGUAGACGGCUUUCUGGACCACGGCUGACGCUGAGAUACGAAAGCGUGGGUAGCAAACAG